UGGGGAAUAUUGGACAAUGGGCGAAAGCCUGAUCCAGCAACGCCGCGUGGAGGACGAAGGCCCUAGGGUCGUAAACUCCUGUCAGGCGGGAAGAAAAGCUGUCGUCGAACAGGCGGCAGCGUUGACGGUACCGCCAGAGGAAGCCCCGGCUAACUCCGUGCCAGCAGCCGCGGUAACACGGAGGGGGCGAGCGUUAUUCGGAAUUACUGGGCGUAAAGGGCGCGUAGGCGGCCUGGCAAGUCAAAGGUGAAAGCCCUCGGCUCAACCGAGGAACAGCCUCUGAAACUGCCUGGCUUGAGGCCGGGAGGGGGUAGCGGAAUUCCUGGUGUAGCGGUGAAAUGCGUAGAUAUCAGGAGGAACACCGGUGGCGAAGGCGGCUACCUGGACCGGUUCUGACGCUGAGGCGCGAAAGCGUGGGGAGCAAACAGGAUUAGAUACCCCCGUAGUCC
rnacentral:rRNA from 1 species